CUACGGGUGGCUGCAGUGAGGAAUAUUGCACAAUGGGGGGAACCCUGAUGCAGCAACGCCGCGUGGAGGAUGACGCAUUUCGGUGUGUAAACUCCUUUUAUAUGUCAAGAAAAUGACGGUAGCAUAUGAAUAAGCACCGGCUAACUCCGUGCCAGCAGCCGCGGUAAUACGGAGGGUGCAAGCGUUACUCGGAAUCACUGGGCGUAAAGGACGCGUAGGCGGGUUGGAAAGUCAGGUGUGAAAUCCUACAGCUUAACUGUAGAACUGCACUUGAAACUUCUAAUCUAGAGUAUGGGAGGGGGAGAUGGAAUUAGUGGUGUAGGGGUAAAAUCCGUAGAUAUCACUAGGAAUACCUAAAGCGAAGGCGAUCUCCUGGAACAUUACUGACGCUAAGGCGUGAAAGCGUGGGGAGCAAACAGGAUUAGAUACCCCAGUAGUC
rnacentral:rRNA from 1 species